UAAGGAAUAUUGGUCAAUGGACGCAAGUCUGAACCAGCCAUGCCGCGUGAAGGAUGAAGGUCCUCUGGAUUGUAAACUUCUUUUAUCUGGGACGAAAACGGGAUUUUUAUCUCAAUUGACGGUACCAGAGGAAUAAGCUCCGGCUAACUACGUGCCAGCAGCCGCGGUAAUACGUAGGGAGCAAGCGUUGUUCGGAUUUACUGGGCGUAAAGGGCGCGUAGGCGGCGCGGUAAGUCACUUGUGAAAUCUCUGAGCUUAACUCAGAACGGCCAAGUGAUACUGCUGUGCUAGAGUGCGGAAGAGGCAACCGGAAUUCUUGGUGUAGCGGUGAAAUGCGUAGAUAUCAAGAGGAACACCUGAGGCGAAGGCGGGUUGCUGGGCCGACACUGACGCUGAUGCGCGAAAGCCAGGGGAGCAAACG
rnacentral:rRNA from 1 species